GAUGAUGUAACUCAGCUGGUAGAGUAGUAAACUUCUAAUUUACGAGUCGGCCGUUCGAAUCGGUCCAUCAUUA
rnacentral:tRNA from 1 species